rnacentral:rRNA from 1 species
AGCGCAGGCGGGAUAUCAAGUCUUUCUUAAAAGUGCGGGGCUCAACCCCGUGAUGGGAAGGAAACUGGUAUUCUUGAGUGCAGGAGAGGAAAGCGGAAUUCCUAGUGUAGCGGUGAAAUGCGUAGAUAUUAGGAGGAACACCAGUGGCGAAGGCGGCUUUCUGGACUGUAACUGACGCUGAGGCUCGAAAGCCAGGGGAGCGAAG